rnacentral:rRNA from 1 species
GAUGAACGCUGGCGGCGUGCCUAACACAUGCAAGUCGAGCGAUUCUCUUCGGAGAAGAGCGGCGGACGGGUGAGUAACGCGUGGGUAACCUGCCCUGUACACACGGAUAACAUACCGAAAGGUAUGCUAAUACGGGAUAAUAUAUAAGAGUCGCAUGACUUUUAUAUCAAAGAUUUUUCGGUACAGGAUGGACCCGCGUCUGAUUAGCUUGUUGGCGGGGUAACGGCCCACCAAGGCGACGAUCAGUAGCCGACCUGAGAGGGUGAUCGGCCACAUUGGAACUGAGACACGGUCCAAACUCCUACGGGAGGCAGCAGUGGGGAAUAUUGCACAAUGGGCGCAAGCCUGAUGCAGCAACGCCGCGUGAGCGAUGAAGGCCUUCGGGUCGUAAAGCUCUGUCCUCAAGGAAGAUAAUGACGGUACUGAGAG